GAUGAACGCUGGCGGCGUGCUUAACACAUGCAAGUCGAGCGGGCAAUUUAUCUAGCACUGAUUACUUCAAAUGGAAAUCAUAAGUGUAAUCAUGAAUUUCUACCUUUAAUAAAGAAAAAGAAAUUCAUGUACGCAAAUAGUGAUAACACAUUUUAGUGGAGUGAUGAGUGCUGGAUAAAUUGCUAGCGGCGGACGGGUGCGUAACACGUGGGUAACCUGCCCCUAUCACUGGGAUAACACACUGAAAAGUGUGCUAAUACCAGAUAAUAUAAGCUUUUGGCAUCAUUAGCUUAUCAAAGAAUUUCGGAUAGGGAUGGGCCCGCGUCUGAUUAGCUAGUUGGUGAGGUAACGGCUCACCAAGGCAACGAUCAGUAGCCGACCUGAGAGGGUGAUCGGCCACACUGGAACUGAGACACGGACCAGACUCCUACGGGAGGCAGCAGUGAGGAAUAUUGGUCAAUGGACGCAAGUCUGAA
rnacentral:rRNA from 1 species